CUAUACUCUGUAUCUUUAGGUAUUAAAAUAAAAUUAUAACAUUUACUGGUUAACCAACCAAAUACAAAACCCCUUGGAUCUGUCACUGAACGGCCUGGCUUUAACCUACAUUAUUUGAUCAUGUAAUGUUUUCAACUACCCUCAACUGGCUUAAGGAGCCAUUUAAGGGUAGAUUUUGUUUACUUUUAUUUAAAUACCUAAAGAUACAGAGUAUAGGGAACAAAUUAAAUUAUUUU